GCCGGCGACCAUUCCACGUUGAAAGCACCGGUUCUCAUCUGAUUACCGCAGUUACGCAACGUUGGGAUUGAUCAGUACUUGCAUGGGUGACCUGCUGGGGAUACCGGGUUUCGCUGGCU
rnacentral:rRNA from 1 species